AGGGGCAGUGCUGGAUCUUGGGCUGUGUCCCCCAGCUCCUGGGCUCUGGAACCUGUGCUGCUGUAAUCGUGCUCCUGGGGCCGCGCAGCCCCCU
rnacentral:pre_miRNA from 1 species